GCCCUCCCCCUAACGCAGAUUCCAGGGUAUCCGAGAGAGAAACGCUUGAAUCCCUCUAGCUGCGUGCAAGCAGAAGAGCGCGAAAUUUAUGCAAAGACAACCCAGACCCCAGAGGUGAAAAGAGCCGCCGAGGUCACCCUUACCCCCUUCGAGUUCCUGCGGGUGUUCAGUUGGCCGGUGAAAAGACUGAGACGGUGCCACCGAUUGUUGCUGGCUGGGCAGCUAGGUUGUCAGCUUGGAUCCUGGCCUUUCCCCCAGUGCAGCCAGGUGGAGCAUACCAGCUUGGAGACCCAGUCAGUCUGAAUUCUAAUCCUGCCUCCACCCUGCAGUGACUUAGAUGAGUAAAACUUCACUUGUGUCUCAGUUUCUUCAUCUGGUAUCAGGAAAACAGCUAAGAAGCAACCAGGAAGCAGAUUGACUCAGCAUAGGAAACAAACAGACCCUCACGGAGGUCCAGGGAACUUUCUUGCCUUUGCUCUGUCCCACCCCCAAGCCUGGGAUUGAGAUGAAGAUUCUCCUGCUUCCUGUAGGACCUUGGUAUCUUUAGUCCUGUAAAGGUGGCAGGAAUCCCCAGACAGCCCAGCCCACCCUGGGAGCCCUGCCUCUGCACAGCGUGGGGCUGGAAAGUUCUGACUCGGUCACCACCUGCUAUAACCACAAACCCCGAACUUGCCCAAGCCUCCAAACCAGCAAGAUGACGUGGCUUAGCCUGGAAGGUGGUGGUGGCCUCUGAGUGCCAGGCGCCCAGCAGGGCAGGGAGGAGCACUUGGCAGCCUGUGGACAAGCCUGCGGCCUCCACCCUGUGGGGCUACUCAACAUCCACGGUCCCUCUGUGUGUGUGUGUGUGUGUGUGCCAGAGGUCAACAUCAGGUGUCUUUCUCAAUUCCUGUCCACUGAACCUGGAGCUUGAUAGUUCAGCUCAGCUGCUGGCCAGUAAGCUACAGGAUUCUCUUGUCUCCUCCUGACCAGUGCUGGAAUCACAGGCAUGUGUGCUGUGUCCAGUUUUUUUUAUGUGGUGCUCAGGAUCCAAAGCCAGGUUCUCAUGCAUGCAUGACUAUGCCCCUCAACUACCACAGGCCUUAGAGCUAGAAGAUAUCUGAAGUCCCCCCAACCAGUGGGUUUUGCAUUCUGGAACCAGGAGAGGUGGGGUGGGAUUGGUAGUUUGUGUAUUAGUAAACACCUUGAUGGGAAUACCUUUCAGCCCAGUGCCACACCCUCAGAAGACACAUGAAGAAGGGGACCCAGGAGGGGACAAGGCUGAUGUGUGCCGACAUAGUAAACUGGAUGAAAACCCAGAUGUUUAGACUUUGGUACAGGGUGGUCUUUUUGUCAGCUAUCUUUUUUUGAGACAAGGUUUCUCAGGGUUCCUAUAGCCCUGGCUGUUGGUGAACUGGCUCCGUAGACCAGGCUGGGCUGGAAUUCAGACAUCUGCCUGCUUCUGGCCUCACAAGUGCUAGGAUUAAAAGUGUGUGCCACCACCUCUCAGCUUUUUGUUUGUUUAUAUUUUGUCCCAUCUCCAACCCUCCCCACCCCCCCGUUCCUGGUGCCCUGUCCCCAAGACAAAGUCUUACUAUGUUGCUCUGGCUGGCCUUGAACUCACUCUGCACACCUGGGUUGGCCUCAAAAUCACAGAGAUCCACCUGCCUCUGCCUCCCAAGUUCUGAGAUUAAAGGCAUGUGC